rnacentral:rRNA from 1 species
UACGAGGGGGGCAAGCGUUGUUCGGAAUUAUUGGGCGUAAAGGGUGCGUAGGCGGUUUGGUAAGUCUGAUGUGAAAUCUAUGGGCUCAACUCAUAGUCUGCAUCGGAAACUGCCGGGCUUGAGUGUGGGAGAGGUGAGUGGAGUUCCUGGUGUAGCGGUGAAAUGCGUAGAUAUCAGGAGGAACACCUGUGGCGAAAGCGGCUCACUGGACCAUAACUGACGCUGAUGCACGAAAGCUAGGGGAGCAAACAGG